GGCUUCCCCUCGCUGGACGGAGAUGACAUCCUUAAGCUGAGUUGAGCGCUGCGUGGGAGCGGUUGUUGUGGGGACUGUGAAGUGUUGGUAAUCAAUCCAUCGAUCGACGAGGCAGCCUGUGAAAGCCAAGACUCGGGGAGCCCGGCAAAGCUCGUGAGCCUCCACCUGGACCCGCCCGCCACAGUACUGAAUGGCCCAGACGAGUGGCACCCAAGCGGUAUACGACCAUCCGCCCUCCACCCAGGCUCGACGGUCGCUUGCGUUUCACCAACGAGGUGGACCCCCACCUCGUUCCACCUCCAAUUUGUGCUCCUUUUCAUUGCAACCAUCAUGACUCUGCUGAACACAGUAAGGGCUUGGCGAGGAGGUGGACCUGCUCACACACACACAGACACUCUCUCUCUCAUAUGUUUACCAAGUGGAGGGUAAUGAUCUCAAGUCCACUCUGGCCUGAUGUUUGUUUCAUCUGAUUGUGCACAACCGUGCAGCCAGCAAGCUGUCCAUCCUUAGCCUUCAUCACGGUCAUAGUGCGACAGAGAAAACAAAGCAACGCUGAGGGUGCACAUAUAGUAAAUGGCAUGUUCCACCAUAACGCAAAUUGUAUUGCCUUCAUUACAACAUCUUGGCGGUAGACCACCGUUUCUUUUCGUUUUGAUGUAAACAGCGAAUUUACAAUGUGUCCCAAUCAUUGCUGUGGUUAUGCCUCCCGUUCCAAGCGCCGCCACUGCAGCCCCCCCUCCCUAAGCCCUUAUCAUCAUCCUAAUUAGCAGUAGGCUAUAAUGAGUUUGGGGAUCGAACCACCCCGGUCAGCUUAGAUUCACAGCGCUGAGUCAUUGCAUCCACAUGCAAAAAAUGAUUCCUGUAUUAAUGAAAAAGUCAUUGACUGACAGACGCGACACUGCCUGCAUCCUUCUUAAUCUAUUACAUUUACCUAACUAUGAAUAUAGCCGGGGGGGGGGGCUUGUGUCGAUCGUGUGAAUCCUGGUUUGUAGUCCCCAUUGGUGAUAUGACUGGACAUCAGGUGGCGUACUGGUUACAGCUAUUCUCAUGCAAUCUGAAUGUUCCCACUUUAAAUGUCACCGCCGCCUGUAGCAACUUCAAGCACGGUGCACUACAGUAAACAUGAGCUAUUGGCAUACAUUGUCAUUACUACCACCUUCCACAAAGGAAACAAAUACUGUACUUGUGCUCCCCUUAUGUUUCACUAAAAUCCAGCAAAAUGUUAUUCCAAUCAAUCAGCUGAAUCCAACAAGAGACCAUAUACAUUUACACACUUAGCAGCGGUAAAUGGGGACGGUCCAGCAUGCUUCUCCUAUUGUUACGUCAUUUCAGCGAUAGCUUUUCUCCCCUUAUCCAGACUCCAAGCGCCGCAGCGCAUGCUUCCCGCUUGUUCAUUUCCUUCGAGGUGAAGGGAGGUUAAUAACUCCUC
rnacentral:lncRNA from 1 species